rnacentral:rRNA from 1 species
GAUGAACGCUGGCGGCGUGCCUAAUACAUGCAAGUCGAGCGAACAGACGAGGAGCUUGCUCCUCUGACGUUAGCGGCGGACGGGUGAGUAACACGUGGAUAACCUACCUAUAAGACUGGGAUAACUUCGGGAAACCGGAGCUAAUACCGGAUAAUAUAUUGAACCGCAUGGUUCAAUAGUGAAAGACGGUUUUGCUGUCACUUAUAGAUGGAUCCGCGCCGCAUUAGCUAGUUGGUAAGGUAACGGCUUACCAAGGCGACGAUGCGUAGCCGAUCUGAGAGGGUGAUCGGCCACACUGGAACUGAGACACGGUCCAGACUCCUACGGGAGGCAGCAGUAGGGAAUCUUCCGCAAUGGGCGAAAGCCUGACGGAGCAACGCCGCGUGAGUGAUGAAGGUCUUCGGAUCGUAAAACUCUGUUAUUAGGGAAGAACAAAUGUGUAAGUAACUAUGCACGUAUUGACGGUACCUAAUCAGAAAGCCACGGCUAACUACGUG